AGGAUAAAAGAAAAAGAAGAGCUGCUAACUCCUACUUUAAGUGGUUAAAUUCCAUUUAUAUCCUU
rnacentral:tRNA from 1 species